AAAGUGCUGGGAUUACAGGCGUGAGCCACCGUGCCCGGCCUCUUCUUUUUUAGUGUAAGCAUUUCAAGUUAGAAGUUUUUCUCCGUUGUUUUAGCAGCAUCUCACACAUUCUGUAAUUUCAUUAUCAUUCAGUUUCAAAUAUUUUCUUUUGUAAGACCUGGGGCCUGUUAUUUAGAAAUUGAGAAUUUGUUUGUUUUCAAGUAUUCGGAGAUAUCCGAAACAUUUUGUUACUGAUUUCUAAUUUAAAUUAUGUCCUGAUCAAAAUUCAUAGUCUAUAUAAUUCUAGUCCUUCACAAUUUGUUGAUUUGUUUUAUGGGCCUGCGUAUUCUCUAGUUGGUGAAUUUUACAUGCACACUUAAAAGUUUUAUGUGCCCCAUCAGUGUUCCAUAAAUGUUAGGUUACAUUAGUUGAUAUGUUAUAACUCCCAGUAAUAUUGUUUUUUUUUUUCCUUAAGUUAGUUUUCUUAAAUAACUUUAGAGAGGAGGAAAAAGUUUUUCACAUUGACUGCCGCUUCUCUAUUUACCAUUUCUGAUGCUCUUCUUUCCUUGAUGUAGAUAGGCGCUUCCAUCUGGUAUCAUUUGCCUUUAUCCUGAAGAAUUUUUUCUUUUGUAUUUAUUGUAGUACAGUUCUUUUUGGUCAUUAAUUAGCUUUUGUUUAUCUGAAAUAUUUUUAUUUUGUUUUCAGUUUUUGGAGGAAUUUUUUUUCAGGAUAUGAAAUUUUAGGUUGACAGGUUUUUUAUUUUUUUUACUUCUACCUUGCUUCAAGGGUGUUUUCUUGUCUCUGGUUUGCAUUGUUUUAGUGUCUUUCUUACAUUGUUCUCUGUGUCUAUUUUUCUGUGGCCUCUUAAAAUUUUCUGUUUAUCAUUGGGUUUUAGCAGUUUCUCAUGUAACAUGUUCUUUAUUUCUUUUUGACAGUUUUAUGGAGCUUGUCUCAUAUAUGGGUUUAUAGUGUUCAUAAAGUUUGAUAAAUUUUCAGCCAUUUUUUAAAAUUAAUUGAUUGGUUGGUAGGUUAGUAAUUUUCAGCCUUUUUUUUUAUUGAUUGAUUGAUUUCCCAUCUCUCUCUCCUCUCCUAGAACUUACAUUACUCUUGUGUUAGAUCACUUGAUAUCUUCCACAGGUCACUUAUACAAAACUUUUUAUCUUGUUUUGUUUCUUUUCAUCAUCUUCCCCCCUCCCCUCCCCCACCAUCCCCCUUUUGGCUUCAGUUUGGAUAGUUUCUUGUGCACUGUCAUUAAGUUCAGUGAUUUUUUUUGUUCUGUAGUGUCUAAUCUCCUGAUAAGCAUAUUCAGUAAGAUUUAUUGUUUCAGAUGUUGCAUUUUUCACUUCCAAGUGUAUGCAAGGUAUAGCUCUUUUUAUAAUUUCAUUUCUCAAUUUAGAUACUAUUUAUUUCCUUAUUAUGUUCAUGUUUUUCUUUAAAUCUUUGCACAUAUUUUAAAUUGCUGUUUUAACAUUUUUAUCUGGUAAUGUAAUUUCUGAUUCUGUUUGCAUUGAUGGAUUUUUCUUUUGUUUGUAAGCCACUUUUUUCCUCUUACUCUGAAUGUCUAGUUUUCUGUGGGUUUUUUUGUUUUUUGGUUUUUGGUUUUUACUGUAUCGUAGACAUUAAGAAUAGUACAUUUUUGGUUGUAUGAAUUCUUUUUGUCUUUUUUUAUGGUCUGUUGGGUUUCAUUCUAGCAGGUCGUUAAUUUUUGGUUAGCUUGAUUCUUUCAGGGCUGGUUUUUAAUGCCUGUUAGACUUGGUCCUUACUAGUCUUUACUCCUGGGCUAGAUUAACCCUAAUCUUAAGACUUCUGGGAUUACUGCCUCUUGACCAGGGUGCUUAGUAACAUCGUUACUCUCUGGCUGAUCAGAGUGUGAGUGUUUUCUAGUUCUGUGAAAACUCCAGUGAUUGUUUAGCUUAUAUCUUCCUUGUAAUUGGUCUUUCCCUGGUAGUUAUAUCUUCCUUGUAGUUGGUCUUUCCCUGGUAGUUUUUGUUUUUUCUUUCCCAGCCUUUAGGAGUCUUGUCCUGAACAUUGUAGUUAAUAUUUGGCAAAGAUUCAUGGGAAUUCCUGUGCAGCUUUCUGGGCCUCUUUUUCUUCAUAGCUCCUUUCCUGCUAUGCCCUCCUUGCCCCACAAAUUCCAGCUCCUUGAGUAGCCUCAAACUCUGAUUUCUGUCCUUUCAAUUCAGCAUUGCCACUGUAUUGUUUGAUCCACUCUUGCACAGCUGUCUGGAAAUGCUUCUCAGAGAAAACCAGAGUGAAUGUGGAGUUUUCCUUACUCAUUUUCCUUCCCUCAUGCAUCAUAGUCCUGUGCUGCUUGUUUCCUGAUACGGUUUGGCUGUGCCCCCACCCAAAUCUCAUCUUGAAUUGUAGUUUCCAUAAUCUCCACAUAUGGGAGGGACCCAGUGGGAGACAAAUGAAUCAUAGGUGCUGUUAGUCCAUGCUUCUGUUCUUGUGAUAGUGAGUUCUUACAAGCUCUGAUGGUUUUAUAAAGGGGUUUUUCCCCUUUUGCUUGGCACCUCUCCUUGCUGCCGCUACGUGAAGAAGGACAUGUUUGCUUCCCCUCUGCCAUGAUUGUAAGUUUCCUGAGGCCUCCCCAGCCAUGCUGAACUGUGACUCAAUUAAACCUCUUCCCUUUAUAAAUUAUGUAGUCUUGGGUAUGUCUUUAUUAGCAGUGUGAGAAUGGACUAAUACAUUGCCCAAUAUCUAGAAGCAUUUCUAUUAUACAUUUUGUCCAGUUACUUCAGAAUGCCAGAAGCAAAAGUCUGGAUUAAUUUUUGAUAACUGCCAAUGUGGAAAGGUAUAAUUAUUUUUCUGCUCUUUUCUUACCCAUUUACACAACCGCCAGAGGUUAUUUUUGCUCAGGUCAUUCCCUCAACCCUGCAUUCACUGGCUGGAUUCCAUAGCAGACAUAGCGGUAUUAGGAUGCAUAUCAGACUUCAUGUUAUGUACACAUGUUCUUUAAGACCAUUUUCAUCUUUAUUCUUGGUAUUAACAAGUUUUUAACCCCUAGAAUAAUUUCUUGGUCUUUAUUGCUUUUUAACUUAUCUGUUAAUGCACUAUUAUAGCCGAGACCAACUGUAUUAGUUUGCUGGGUCUGCCAUAACAAAGUGCCAAAGACUGGGUGACUUAAGCAACAGAAAUAAAUUUUCUUGUGUUCGUGGAGAUUAGAAGUCUAAUGUCAAAAUAACAGAAUUGGUUUCUUCUGAGGGUUUAAGGGAAUGAUUUUUUCUAGACCUCACUCCUUGGCUUGUGGGUGGCCCUUUUCUCCCUGUGUCUUCACUGUGCCUUCCCUCAGUACCUGUCUGUGUUCAGCUUUGCCCUUCUUGUAAGGACAACAGUCAUAUUGGAUUAAGAUCCACUCAUAUGACCUCAUUUUAACUAAAUCAUCUCUGUGAAGUCACCAUUUCCAAAUAGUCACAUUCUGAGAUAUUGAGGGUUAGGAUGGAAUUCAGCCCAUAACACCAACCAUUUCUCAUGUUUCUUACUUUUUGCUGCUGAGCCUUGGUGUAAAACUUGAUAUCCUGUGAUACUGUUGCAUUGUUCACCUGCUUAUUCAUGUCAUCAUUCUUUUUCAUUAUUGCAACAAUAAGUCAAGUUACCUUAAGCCAUUAUUUUUCAUCUUUUCAGAAAUCUUUGAGAAACAAGUGAAACCUAUGGAGAUAACCCCCCCAAUAUAUAUUUUCACAUAUGACAUUUUACAUCUAAUUUGGAGAGUUUUAAGAUGCCCCCAUAUCCACGCAUGUGCCCUUUAGUGCAGAAUUCCCGCCCCAAAUAUUCAUCAUUGUAACCCUUUAUUCUAGGUUCCAUCCACUGACUGGUAUAGAUGUCAUUCAUGUAUAACUACCAGAUUUCCCCCUGAAUCACAUGCAGAUGAAGAAGAGUGUGUGAGCACAGGAUUCAUGAAUGCCUAGUGCAGGAAGUUAUAGGUAUUGAAAGGGAAAAGCAAUACAUCACUCAUUUGAUCUGCUCUCUUUCAGAUCAUAGGAUGUAGUGGUAGAUGGUCACAUAUUAAACUUUAAAGAGGUGUUGGCUUUCUUCCCCCUUGCAUUUAAAAGGUGAUGUGCUGCAAUGUGAGACAAAUCAUGAUUCACUACAACAGUGUUGCAGUCAGUUAUAUAAAUUGCCAAUGAAACACUAAAUCUGUCACUUUGUGUGUUCCGACAGUUUAGCAAUUGGAGUCGUGUUGGAAGAGGGCUGACUGGGAACAAAAGAAGCUGAUAUAGUGGCAGAUGCAAUUAGCAAGAUCAAUGUAAGCUCCCUUGGAAUUCUAUCAUCAAGAAAUAAUCAGGAACUCAGAAAAGGUUAGUAUAAAUAUGUUUCUUGCCACAGUAUUUUUUUUUUUUUUUUUGAGACGGAGUGUCGCUCUUUCGCCCAGGCUCGAGUGCAGUGGUGCUAUCUCGGCUCACUGCAAGCUCCGCCUCCUGGGUUCACGCCAUUCUCCUGCCUCAGUCUCCCAAGUAGCUGGGACUACAGGCGCCCACCCCCGCGCCCGGCUAAUUUUUUGUAUUUUUUAGUAGAGACGGGGUUUCAUUUGCCACAGUACUUUUAACAGUAGAAGCUUUGAGCCACCUUGAUAUAAAAAUGGUUAAAUUAACUAGUAGAUGAUGGAACAUAAAAUGACACGAGAAUACUUAUAAUAGCACAUUAUAAGAUUGCAUUUACAAGGCCGGGUGCCAUGGCUCACGUCUGUAAUCCCAGCACUUUGGGAGUCUAAGGCAGGUGCAUCAGGAGUUCUAGACCAGCCUGGCCAACAUGGUGAAACCCCAUCUCUACUAAAAAUACAAAAAUAAGCUGGGCGUGGUGGCGGGCAUCUAUAAUCCCAGCUACUUCAGAGACUGAGGCACAAGAAUCGCUUGAACCCAGGAGACGGAGGUUGUAAUGAGCCAAGAUCACGCCAUUGCACUGCAGUCUGGGCGACAGAGUGAGACUCAGUCUCGCUGAAAAAAACAACAACAUUGCUUUACAGUGUGAUUCCAGUUACAGAGAAUAUUCACAUAGGUGCAUAAAUAAAUGAAAAAAUUAUUGGUUAAUGUCUCUGUAUGUUGGGAUUCUCAGUGAUUUUAUUUUUCUACUUUUUAUUUUUUAUAAUUUCUCCAGUGUGUUGGUGUUAGCUUUAUAGAUUAUAUCAAGUAACCUUUUGCUGCACCAAAAAACCCCCCAAAUCUAGUGGAUUAAAACAAAACCAUCUUACAAUUUUGUCAGAACUGUCUAAGCUGAUAUUUACUGGGCUCUCUCCUGAAUGUGGGGUCAGCUGGGGGGUUGGCUAAUAGGGUACCCUAGGAUGGUCUCACUCAUCUGUGGUGGUUGGCAGACCGUUGUCCAAGACACUGCACUUCUCUUCCGGGUGGCUUCUCACGCCUUCUGAUGUGCUAGCUUGGGUUUGUUCACAUGGUGGUCUCUUCCAGGGAUAGUACAAGGUACAGCUCACGUGCAUGAGGUGCAAGUUGAUACAGUUUGGAUGUUUGUCCCCUCCAAAUCUGAUGUUGAAAUUUGAUCCCCAGUGCUGGAGGUUGGGCCUGGUGGGAGGUCUUUGGGACAUUGGGGCGGAUCCCUCUUGAAUGGCUUGGUGUGUCCUCAUGGUAACCAGUGAGGUCUUGCUUUAUGAGUCCCCAGGAGAGCUGAUUCUUAAAAAGAGCCUAGCACCUCCCUUCCGUCUUGCCCUCCAUCCUCUCGCUGUCAUCUAUACACAACAGCUCCCCUUCCCCUUCUGCCUUGAGCGGAAGCUUCCUGAAGCCCUCACAAGAAGCAGAUGCUGGCGCCAUGCUUCUUGUGCAGCCUGUGGAACCAGGAGCCAAAUAAACCACUUUUCUUUGUAAAUUACCCAGCCUCAAGUAUUCCAUUAUAGCAACACAAAAAUGGACUAAGACAUAAGCCCAGGUACACAAGCACUUUCCAAGUCUGUUACAUUCACAUUUGCUAAUGCCCUCUCUAUUGACCAAAGCAAUUCACUUGAUUAGGCCCAGAGCCAGUGUACAAGGAAACACCAGGGGCAUGGAAGGUACAGAGGAGAGGGCGGGAUGAUCACAGCUGUUUUUGCAAACAAUCUUUGACAUAAACAGUGAUAUCAAUGCCAUAAAAAAGAAAAAUAAACCCCUAACCCAUCUGAAUCCUAGUGCAGAGCCUUCUGAGAGUGAUAGUAUCUUUAUGUUUUGACUGCUUCAGAGGUCUCCAUAUCUUUUCAUGCCUUUGUGGUUACAAGGAGUAGCGAAGACGGGGGCGGGCAGAUCAGUGAUCACCUUCCUUGGCCUUCCUUGGCCAUCUAGCAUACAGUUAACCUUCCUUGACUAUCUAGCCUUCAGUUCCCCUACCACUCCCUUUUCAGCCUGAGUGGCCAGGUACUUGGGCUUAUCUGUUAAUUUUUCUUUCUCUUUCACUGAAACUUCCUGCCACACCCAGAAGAAAACCAAUAGCAUGGUACUCACAGGGAGGUGAAUAGAAUUAUAAUCGAAGAGUGCUCAUUUUGUGGGUCUGAAUUGGAAGUGUAUUUUUGUUUUUGCAAUAUCACUAAUAAUGUUUCCUAGCCUUGUGUAAGAAUUAAAAUGUGUUGCAUUUCAUUGCAAAUUUUCUGUGCCAAGACAAAAGUAGAUUAUUCUACUCUCACUUUGUGUAACAGGAGGCAAAAGCUUCCAUAGAUGCUUUAUGAAUAGUAUUUUGAGGCCUAGAAAAAUAAGUUGCAGAGUAGCUGAAAGUGCUAAUGGAGAUAAAUACGCGGCAUAUGUUUGCAUAGUGCCUUAGUUUCCUAUUGCUGCUAUAAACAAUGAGCACAAACAGUGGCUGAAAACAGCACCGAUUUAUUCUCUUAUGCUUCUGGAGGGCGGAAGUCUGAGAUCUUUUUCACUGAAUUAGACUCCACAUGUCACCCAAGUCACUUCCUUCAGGAGGCUCUAGAGGAGAAUGGCUCCUUGCCUUUCUCAGCUUCUAGUGAGUGCCUGCAUUCCUUGGCUUACAGCCCCUUCCUUCAUCCUCAGAACCUACCACAUCAUUCUCUGCUACCGUCAUCACAUUGCAUUCUCCUCUCACUCUGAUUCUUCUCCCAUCCCUCUUAUAAGCACCACUGCAAUUAUAUCAGGCCCACCCAGAUAACCUCCCCAACUCAAGAUCCUUCACUUAUCCACUUCGACAAAGUCCCUUUUGCCUCAUGAGCUGAUAUGCGCAGGUUCCAGGGAUUGGGACAGAAAUAUAUUUGGGGAGCCAUCACCCCGCCUCCCACACAUAGUAACACACCUAUGAACCUCAUAGUUCCGUUGCGUUUGUGAAAGUGGUUUCUUUCCCCUGCUUCAUGAUGGGCCUAUGUGUCAUCUUCUGGAUGAGCUGGCUGGUCUGCAGGGUUCUGCCUCACUUCCUGAUCCUGAUUCCACUGGGAUUUGGGUCUGGGUAUGAUGAAGGGUGUAGGUGUAUAUGUGACUGAUUUUUAUUCUUCAUAUUGGGGAGAAAUGAAGUUUAUUUUGCUCUCCUCCCUCAUUCUAUAUAUUGAUAUUAUGAUUAAUAGCUUUUGACACCAAACUAUUUUGAAAUAUGAGUCUUUUAUGACGUAUUUUGACAGCAGCAAUGGCAUGCUUUUCGCUGUUGUAACAGGAGUAAAUGACAGGGGCCACUCGCUCAUUAUUUUAUACCCAAGUAAUCAACCAAAGAUGUCAUGUCCAGAAAUAACACUAAAAUGUCAACCACCCAAAUCUCUUGCAAAUAGUCUCAUUCAGAGGGUUGGAAUCUGCCUUACUGGCAGUUUUGAAAGAUACAAUUUGUUGAAGACAGGGAGCCCUAAGUGAUUUCUUUCUCUCUCCGAGAUGCCAGAUGGGUGUUGAAUGAAGUCCAGUUUUUAGUUUUUCUGUAGAUAAUUUUUUUAAGUUUGUGGUGGUGUUUCGGAUCUUCAUCCGUGUGUUCUCCCUCCUCUAGCCCCCCACGGCUACCCACAGCCUGGCAGCGGUAUGGUUGCCUUGGUACCUGUUCCUGAAGGCUGUCUGCAAUGAAAUUUGGUUGUCUAAAUAGCACGACUUGUCAUCUAAAAGUAGAAGUCAUUAGCACGAUGCCGUUUGGCUAGUGGUAUCUUGAAUGCUGUUUUAAAAAUUUUCUUAUUUUAUCACUUUACUGUUACUGUUUACUCAUGUCAUCACUGGAGAUUUCAGGGCCUGCUUCACACUAUGGAUCCGGAGUGAAAAAUACGAAAUGUUCUCCCUAAGAGUUUCCCAGAACUUGCGCCAAAAACAGUGGCCCGAGUUGGACAUUUUGUAUAUUUUUAGAGACACAGAUUUUGAAAUUCCAGCCGUUGUUACCUCGCGUGAUCAGUAAUACUUGCAUAUUGGUAGCGGCAAUCCAUGAUUGAACAGCCUUCUGCUGUUUCUGAGGGAAAUGAAAUUUCUGCCAGCUUCUGUUUGAACUUUAAUUGGCCUUCACUGUGGUCGUGAAUUUGCCAGAAACACGUAUUUAUCUCAGAAAAGGUAGCAUGUUUUUUAAGUUUGAUAUAAAAGUUGAAUUGGGUGCUUUGGGAGGAUUUGUGUCCAUUUGCCUCCAAUCAAGUUAUCUCCUCUGUGAAAUUAUAACAAAAGAUGCAGCCAGGCGGAACAUCGUCACUCUUUCCGCCCAGGUGAGUCCACUCUGAAGUCAAUGACUCCUGUCACUAUAGGUAAGAUGGGAGGCCACAUCCUGUUCCCUUGUGGUAGGCAUCUUGGCAAAAACCACCAACUGGCAGCCUGUGUUGUGAGGAAUGCACAUUAAUUAGUUCCUUGAAACUCUUCCCUCAUUAACUUCAGGUAAGUUGUUAAAGCAAAUGUUCUGGAGUUCAGAGUGUUGCUUUUGAUAAUGAGAAAACAAGUUUAGUCAUCAGAAUCUGUCAUCUUGUUUAUAAAACAGUCAAACCAUAUGCAACGCCCUUCUGCAUGGUGGAUUUUGUUUUGUUCCUUGAACCUACUGGCUCGCUUCAUCCAAUGCCUACAGAUAGUAAAUAAAGAGGUCCAUUUUUUUAGGUACAUUAAAUACUACAAAUUUUGGGAGGGGAGGUAGAGUAGGAGGGUGGUGGGCAGAAGGCAGCCGGGCCAUUUUUUUGGCAACUAAUUCAAUAUGAGAAAAAAGAUGGUAUUGCUCUCAUAAAAGUAAUUUAUAUUCAUUGUUUUCAACCAACUGAAACAUUCAGAAAGCUAAAAACAUUUCAGUCAAAUUCCCACCACCUUGAAAUAAUCAGAAGUAUGUUUUGGUGACCAUCAUUCAAGAUACGUUCUUGGCCGGGCGCAGUGGCUCACGCCUGUAAUCCCAGCACUUUGGGAGGCCGAGAUGGGUGGAUCACGAGGUCAAGAUAUCGGGACCAUCCUGGCCAACUUGGUAAAACCCCGUCUCUACUAAAAACACAAAAAUUAGCUGGGCGUGGUGGUGGGCACCUGUAAUCCAGCUAGUCAGGAGGCUGAGGUAGGAGAAUCACUUGAACCUGGGAGGCUGAGGUUGUAGUGAGCCGAGAUUGCGCCACUGCACUCUAACCUGGUGACAGAGCAAGACUCUGUCUCAAAAAAAAAAAAAAAAAAAGAUACGUUCCUAAGAUAGACAGAAAGGUAGGUCAAGAAGCAGGUAACUAUAUUGACAAAUGAAGAAGCAUAAUAUUUUUAAAUGUAAAUUUGAAUCUAAGAAAGGAAAAUCAGAUGAAGUAAUUUCUGAACUUUUACUAUGUGAGUCCAAGAAUAUUAAGCUAUUACUUCCUAAAAUAUUACUGUAAAGUAAAAAUAACAAUUAUUGACAAUAUUGAGAAGUUUUAUAUGUAUAUACACAUAUAUACGUGCAUAUGUAUCUACAUUCUAUGUAUGUUUUAUACAUAUAUAACUGUAUUUUAAACUGUAAUUUUCAAAAUAGUUUUGAUAGCUUUUUGAUUUGUUGCUUAUUUGGCUAGAUUUAAUUGCCAAGAAUUUUAUUUUUGUUUAUUUCAAAUAUGGUUUAUGUUACAUAUCCUUUGUUCCUGCAUACUAGAUGCCUUAGUCCAUUUUGUGCUGGUUUCACAAAAUACUUGAGACUGGGUAAUUUAUAAAUAAUAGAACUUUAUUUCUUACCAUUCUGGGGGCUGGGAAGCCUGAGAUCAAGGAGCGGACAGAUUCAGUUUUCUGGCGAGGGCUGCAUUCCAUCUGGUGACACUGCAUCCUCUGGAGAAGAGAAAUGCUGUGUCCUCCCAUGACAGAAGGCAGAAGGGCAAGAGGAAUGAACUUCCCUUCUUAAGCCCUGUUAUAAGCGCACCGAAUACCUUUCACAGGGGUUUAGGUGUGCUUGUAAACAUCAUGACUUAAUCACCUCCUGAAGGCCCCCCGCUCAAGAUGCUUUCGUUGAUAAUUAAGUUUGAACUUGAAUUGUAGAGGGAACAGAAGCAUUCAGAACCUAACACUUCAGAGUAUCUGUUCCUUUCUCAUUUAAUAGAUAAUUCGUCUAGGUAUAAAAAUCUCGAGUCACCUUUUCUUUUACUGGAAUCUUGUAGAUACUGUCUUUGGGCAUUGAAUUUCCUUAAUGUGAUACUGGGGGCUAACUUGAGUUGCCCACUUAAUGAUGACUUGCUUUCUCUGCUAGGAUGUACAUAGGAUUAUUUAUUUUUAUUUAUUCAUAUUCUCUCUCUCUUCUCCCAUCUCUACUAUAUUUAUUAAAGCAUCGUACAUGUACACAAAAGCGCAUAUAACAUAAGCUUAUAGUUCAGCGAAUGAUCAACAUGCCAAAACUCACGACAACUAUUCAGGUGAAGAAAUAGAACACCACUGGAGUUUCAGAGUUUCCUCUGAUCUCCUUUCAGUCAUUAGGCAGGCCUUCCUCUCUGCUCAAAGGUAGCUACUUCUUCAGCUUCUAAUAUCAUUGACUUUUGCUGUUUUGGGAUUCUACAUGAACGGAACCAUUCAGUAUGCUUUCUGGCUUCUUUCACUCAACAUUGCUUCUUGAGAUUGAUCCCGAUUGUUGCAUAGAGCAGUAUUUCAUUCAUUUUCCUUGCUCCCAUGAUAUGUGAAUUAUCUGUGUGUCAGCCCUAGUUCUCGUUUGAGCUACUUACUGGCUUAAGCAACAGCCUUGUCACUUUUGAGUCAUUCCCCACUUUGGGACUGGCAGUGAAAUAGAGGCUGUCAGUGGGUUGAUGAGUGAGCACUAUGUCCCCUCCCUCGUUCCUGUCACCUCCUUCUCGGACAGUAAAGUCACUGUUCGUGAUUCCCCCUUCUGCUCCUCUUCUGCCACGUGCUGUUAGCAGGGUUUCUCUGGGGAUACCCACUGCUGCCCCUUUUCUUUUAGUAUGUUCUCACUCAGAUCUUAGCCCUUUAGCCAAUGGCUCAUUUCAGUGGUCUUUUAGGACGGAGAAAAAUCUGUGUCAUGCUUGCGUUCCAAGGAGCCAUGUGUUCAUUGCUAAUGCCCUCCCUCAUUUUGGUCCAGUUUCCCUGUAUUCAGCUAAUGUUCAUUAUAGUUUGUGGUGUUGGAGUAAUAACCAUUUAUUUAUGAAACCAUUUUAUUAUAUUUUAUUCUUUUCUCUUUCACAGUAGAUUUUAGGGAAGGAGAAUAUACAGAAAUGUUUUUGUUCCUUCCUGUUUAACUGCAUGUCUCAGCUGGGCCCGGUGGCUCAUGCCUGUAAUCCCAGCACUUUGGGAGGCGAAGGCAGGCAAAUUACCUGAGGUCAGGAGUUCGAGACCAGCCUGGCCAACAUGGUGAAGCCCCGUCUCUACUAAAAAUACAAAAAAAUUAGCUGGACAUGGUGGCAGGUGCCUGUAAUCCCAGCUAUUGGGGAGGCUGAGGCAGGAGAAUCACUUGAACCCGGGAGAUGGAGGUUGCAGUGAGCCGAGAUCAUACCACUGCACUCCAGCCUGGGCAACAACAGUGAAACCCCAUCUCAAAAAAAUAAAUAAAAAGGCAUGUCUCAUAAAUUAGCUUAGGAAUAAGUGCAUUUAACAACCCAGGACUGAUAAUGUGAGGAUUACUAACAUGGUGAAUAUUUACCAUGUUGGUAUAUCUCUGCACGGGUGGACUGAGUUUCCUUUUGGGGCCAUCUCAGUCACCUUCUUCCCCCUCAUUUGUCCCAGCGUCCUGCCCUCCACCCUCUAGUCCAUCUUCCUGCAGGCCUGGCUGUCCACUGUCCUGUGUUAGCCCUGACACCUGCCAAGCCAUCUGAAGCUUCCCAUUCUUCUUGGAGGCUGAUUAACUCAGAAGAAUGCUUUAACCAGAGGGGGUAAACUAUAGUAUGCGACUAGCUUUAUGUUCCUUUAUAGGUUUUUAAUAUCAGCGAAUGGAGAAUUAUUCUAUACUGCCUUUGAGUAUGAGCUUAAUCUCAUUCAUCAUCAAAAAGCAUCUGGAAUCUGCCAUUGGAGCUCUUGCUCAAAUGCUUGACUGAACUGUAGGGAGGUGCUUUUUGUUCUAGUGUGUAUAAUGUGUAUAAUUUGGUGCCAACAUGGCAGCCCCUUCAGAUCAGAGCCAUAACUUUACAGAAGGAACAGUAUCUCUUUAAAAAUAGACACAGGUUUAAGAUUUAAAGUGACAGCAACAUUUUUGAGAAAAUUUUUUAUCUGAAGGUUGAAAAAACGUUGGAUCUUAUAUAAUUAAAGAGAAAUGUAACCUUUAUGUCUGACUGUAUCUUUGCUUUCCAGUUCACCAAAAUGGUACCCACAGUUGAAAACACUCAUAAGAAUAAUGAAGUCACAUUGCGAUGGACUUUGCUCUCCCAGCUCAAAUUAUGUGCCAACUAAUACAGCAAAUCGUAUGAUAUAUGUGUGUAUAUAUAUAUAUCACAUGAUAUAUAUGUGUGUAUGUAUGUCUAUAUACAUAUACAUAUAUGUGUGUAUGUUUGUGUCUAUAUGCAUAUAUGUAUAUGUGUGUAUAUAUACAUAUAUGUAUAUGUGUGUAUAUAUACAUAUAUGUAUAUGUGUGUAUAUAUACAUAUAUGUAUAUGUGUGUAUAUAUACAUAUAUGUAUAUGUGUGUAUAUAUACAUAUAUGUAUAUAUGUGUGUAUAUAUACAUAUAUGUGGCUGUAUACAUGUAUAUAUGUGUAUAUAUGUAUAUAGACACACACAUACACAUAUAUACAGAUAUACACAUAUGUAGUUUGAGUUAUAUAAAAAGUGUGCUCUUAAGACAGAUAGCUUGCUUUUCUCUAACCUCUAUUGUCUGGAAUAUUGUCUAUUUGGCCCUUCUGUAAAUGCUAUGUAGACCCAUAAUAUCCUUAACUUUAAUUUUGGAUUUCUUCACUCAUGAGUUCUAACUCCAUAUCCCCAACCUAGCUAGACCUCUCACCUGAUACCCCAGAUGAUAAAUCUUAUUGCUUGGUGGAUAUUUUCACUUUCAUGUUCCAGAGGCACCUCACAUUGUAACAGACCUGAGGUUGGGCUCCUCCACUCCUCUUGAAUUCUGUGCUUAGGUCGAUGACACCACCAUUCAUACAUCCACCAGCUAGAAGCCUGGGUGUCAGCUCCCAUGCUUCAUCAAAUCCUUUUCCUGGAUCAGAGGUUCUUACUUUUCAUCUGUUUUCUUAAACAAUAUUCCCACCUCAUUAGUGUGGGAUAUGUUCCAAGACCCCCAGUGGAUGCCUGAACCUGCAGAUAGUACUGAACCCUAGAAAAACAGUACUCUGUUUUUCUGAUACAUGCAUACCUUUGAUAAAGUUUAAUUUAUAAAUCAGGCACAGUAAGAGAUUAACAAUAAUAAUCAAAUAGAUCAGUUAUAACAAUAUACUGUAAUAAAAGCUAUGUGAAUGUAGUAUCUCUCUCUCAAAAUAUCUCUUCAUACUGGACUCAACUAUUUUUGGACCAUGAGUGACUAAAACCAGGAAAGUGAAACCACGGAUAAGAGAGAACUACUAUGAUAGUACAGUGGCAGUAGCAAUAGUCACGGUAGUAAUUAAUAAUAAAAAUUUCUCUUGUACUUGCUAUGUAGCCGGCUUUGUUCUAACAGCUUUACAUUGAUGUUUUAAUCCCUUAGUAAGGUAAGCACUUAUAAUCCUUAUUUUUAGAUGAGGCAACUGAGAUGCAGAGAGGGUAAAUAUGAACUUGUCCAAGUUCAUAUUGCUAGUACAUCUGGGAUUCUAAUGGCAAUGUAUGGAAAUGGAGAAGGAAUACCAGGGCGUCGAUUUUCCAUUGCAGUUAUCAAGUGAUUUGCCACCCACGUCUGUCCCACUCAGAAAAGCCUAUUGCAAUGCAAGAGAAUGAGCGUGAUACCAUUAAAGGGUUGAUCUUGGAUCUAGUCUAAUUUGUGAAGAACAUUUUAUAAGUCACUCAACCAUCAUGAGUAACAAAUCGCUGGGGAAGUGGCUUAGGCCUCCCAGCCACAUGCCAGGAAGCCUGUGUUUGGCAAUGACUGUUGCUCUGUACAGAAUGGCUCAAGUGUUCUAUUGGAAGCAGUUGGACCUUGUGGCUUUCAUGCUGUCACCCUUGUAUUAUUUCUUGGUGUGUCCAGGUAAAGCUGGAGCUCCUUAGCCCAGCCAGAAAGGCAGCUCAUGGUGCAGCCCCUGCCUGCCUCUCUGGACUCAUCUCCCCUGCUUCCCUGUUUGCAUUGUGGUUUUUGCUUUCCGCCUCCAGAGAUAUUGGAGACUCUGCUGUAUUCACUAUGAUCUGGUUAAGCAUCUCCUCCAGAAAGUCAUUCCGAGCCUCUUCACUGUUCUCUCUACACUGGGUCAAGAGCCUGUGGUGUUCUCAUGAGCUCUUUCUUCAGUAUCCAUAUGAACCACUAGACCAAGAGCACCUGACGGACAAGUUAUUUAUCUUCAUGACACAAACUGUACUAAUGGAAUGUUUGUGAAUGAAAAUGUACUUUGAUGAACCAGAACCAGAUACUCUAUUUAUUUAUUUAUUUGUUUGUUUAUUUAUUUAUUUAUGUGAGAUAGGGUCUUGUUCAGUUGUCCAGGCUGGAGUGCAGUGGUGCAGUCUCAGCUCACUGCAGCCUCAAACUCUCAGGGCUCAGGUGAUCCUCCCACCUCAGCCUCCCAAGCAGUUGGGCCCACAGGAGUGCACCACCAUGCCCAGCUAAUGACUGUAUUUUUUGUAGACGUGGGGUUUCGCCAUGGUGCCCAGGCUGUCAUGGCAGCCCUAACAGAUGAAUCCAGUGGCAUAUGAAAUAACUGCUAAGAACCAUGUGAUAGCUGGAUGGGGGUUUGUCUGUGCACAUAUGCACAUACACACAAGACAUCCACAUGUGUGAAAGAGGGUGUUGCAUUCCUUAAGAGUAGUAUACUUAUUUAUGUAUUCUGUGUAGGAUACUUAUUUAUAUGAGAAACUCUAGCGCAUGAGAAAAUGUUGAACAAGAAUUUAAGAGGAUUUUCUGUUUACCCUGAGUUUAACUAUAAAAUUAGAGUUCUUCCCUAAAUAUUAUUGUUAAUAUUAUACAUGUUGUUUUUUGCUGUAAAAUAUUCAGAGAUUAUCUAAGUAAUUCUGCCACUAUCUGUCAUGAUGUAGUGACUAUGUGCAUUUCUGUUGGACAUUUAAUUUCUAUUUGAUAAUUUAUUUCUGUUCAAUAUGUAUAUUUGUAGAAUUAUUUCUGAGAUAUAGAUGUUCAUUGCUAUCCAGAAUAUUUUAUGUAAUAAACUCUAUGUUUUCUGUCAUAACUAUGGUUAGGUACUGGUUUAGGGAUAAUCAGCCAGUUGCCUUGACCCCAAAGAACAUCAAGAUUUAUUUGCCAUUGCCACUGUCAUGUUUCUUUAAAGGGAAGAGACGGGGAAAAAGGAAAGAUUGGAAAGAGUUGCGGGAAGGAAAGCAAAUGUCCCUUCAGACAUGUGAUUGUGCCACAUAGGAAGGAACAGACCCUGGUUUGAAUCCCAGCCUUACUGUGUAUUGACCCUGUGACCUUUGGGAGAUGAGUUAAUCCUUGCACCACAUUUUCCUUGGCUGCAAAGCACCUCAAUUUGCAGGUUCCUUUGAGGGCUGAGAUUAUAUACAUAAAGCAUGUGGGCUAGUCUCCUCUGGUGUAUAUAUGCAGAAAGCAUUGUCCCCAAUCUUGAAUUGUUAGAUAUUCAUUUAAGGCAAACAUUUUUGUUUUCUUUUUCCUUACUGAAUGAGAGAAGCUGGUAAGGAAACGGUGGGAUGUGGCCAGGUGAUAGGAGCGCAGACAUAGCAGCCAUUGAUGCAGACAGAGCUUAGAGAAGGCGUCAUCACCACGCAUCACACUGAGCAAGUCUGUGCGGCCCCUGUGCCCAUGAGGCUUACAGUGCAGUUGGAAAAGCAGACCAAAGGGAAUAAACGUGAACAAGAUAAUUGCAAAAUAUAGUAAGUACUGUGAAACAAACCAAUAGAUUCUGGGAGAAACUAAAAUAAGAAGGAGCAACUUUUAGUGGAGACAUCCAGGAGGCGUCUCUGAAGAGGUGACAGCAAAUAAGUUACGUUUUGGGAAGCAGAGGGGAGAAGAGGGUAUUGGGUAGGUGAAGAAGCGCGACAGCCCAUGGUGUGUUUGGGUGAUACAAGUGAGCCACCAUUGUCUGAUGGAAAGGGACUGGAAAAGAAACUGGAUUGCUGUAAGAAUGAUUUUGAAUGACAUUGGGGUUUUUCUGGUUUGUUUUUGUUUUUGAGAUGGAGUUUCCCUCAGUUGCGCAGGCUGGAGUGCAGUGGUGCGGUCCUAGCUCACUGAAGCCUCAAAUUCCUGGGCUGAAGUGAUCCUCUUGCCUCAGCCUCCUGAGUAGCUGGGACUAGAGGCAUGCGCCACCACACUCGGCGAAUUUUUUAUCUUUUUGUAGAGAUAGGUUGUCACUGUGUUGCCGAGGCUUGUCUUCAACUCCUGCCGUCAAGCAAUCCUCCUGCCUUCAAGCAAUCCUCCUGCCUUAGCCUCUCAAAGUGUUGGGAUUACAGGCAUGAGCCUUACGCCCAGCCAACAUAAUUUUUUUUUUUUUUUUUUGAGAUGAAGUUUCACUCUCUGUUGCCCAGGCUGGAGUGCACUGGCAUGAUCUCAGCUCACUUCAACCUCCACCUCCAGGGAUCAAGCAAUUCUCCUGUCCCAGCCUUUCGAGUAGCUGGGAUUACAUGUGUCCGCCACCAUGCCCGGCUAAUUAUUGUAUUUUUAGUAGAGACGGGGUUUCACCAUGUUGGCCACGCUGGUCUUGAUCUACUAACCUCAGGUGAUCUGCCCGCCUCAGCCUCCCAAAGUGCUGGGAAUACAGAUGUGAGCCACCAUGCCGGGCCACCACUUUUUUUGUUGUUACUUUAUUUUACAAUUUUUAAAUACAGUUGUAUAAAAUUUGAGCCAUGAGUCUGACCAUUCUGAGAAGGCCUACUUUUGUUUCUCCUAAGAUGUGCCAUUUACCGUUUUAAAUUGUCAUCAUUGGCUAGGGGACCUGGCUCUCCAUUAGAUUAGAGGACACCAUUUGUUCACAUUUGUUGAUGUCAGACUACUACCAAACAAAAAUUUUUGCCCUUGUGACCAUCUCUUUGACUUUCCAGAUCAGGAUAAUCAAAUAAAAUGAUAAAUACAAAUAAUGUAUAACAUGUCACAUAUAGUUUAUUUACUGCCUAAGGUUGUUAUUUUGUGUUUAAAAUGAUUCUUGCUACUGAGUAUAAAUUCUGUGUACCCUUUUUUGAUGUCAAUUUUUAUUAUAUUAAUGCUAAGGAAUAUUAGAAUAGUCUGGAAUUUGGGAAUUGAUAGUAGCAAGCUGGAAUUUGGGUAUGGAAAAUGCUGUGUAAACCAGUAGCAAGAAGUGCCAAUGCUUGGAGUCAAGCCAGGGCCCAGAUAUUCAAGCUCUAUUUCUUUUUCUUUUCUUUCUUUCUUUCUUUUUUUUUUUUUUUUAAAUAAAUUGAGCUUUGGAAACACCUUCACAUUUGAAAAUGACUUUGUGUUUGUUGAUUGUUUUCUUUCUUGAGUAGAGUAUCAUAGUACUUUCUUUUUUUGUUAUUUGUUACUGUGACAGUAUUUCAUAUUUUUAACCCAAGACAGUUGGCUUUCCAAAAAUACUGGAAACAAAUGCAUGAUGUAAUCAUCCUCACCCGCGUCCAAAAUUGUGGUAGAUCUCCACUUUCACUCUGUUAUUUAUAGUAAUGCGUUUUUUUUGUGUUAGGACUGGUAAGUUGCCUAAGUAGAUCCUUGAGAGGCGGGAUAGACAUUUUUUCCCUUGAGUCAUAUAGUUAAUUUGCUUUCAUUUUUCUUGAGUCCUACUGUUAAAUUUUUGAAGUACAACAGUUUAUGUCCUUGGUCUGUGCUUGACUGUGGAGUAAUACUAGACAAUAAGGCAUCCUUUAUUUAUAUUAGCUUUGGUAUGUUGUUUUUGCUUUUCUCAGAUUUCUCCAGUCCUAAAGAAGGUUAUGUACAUUUAUCUGUGUGUUUACAUACAUGGUUAUAUGGAAAUAAUUGCUUUCAGAUAGUUGUGGUUUUCUUUUCAUUGUUUCUUCUGAAAUAUUCUUGUUAAACCUGAGAACAAGUGAAAAUGUUUCAUGAAAAUGCAUUAAAAUGCAUUGUUAAUAUAUAACCUAAAAACUAUUGGAUUGGUUUAUUUUUAGCAUGAAGAAUUUUGAAUUCACUGGAAUUUAAGUUACAGUUGUUGCAGUUUUUAUGUAGACUUGGCAGUUAUGUCACUUAUACUUCUUAAUUAUCUUUGUACAUAUUUUAUAUGACAUAAUAUCUGCACACUCACCAUCUCCAGCCUCUGUAGAGAAUGUAACACAUAGCACCAAAGUAAUAAAAAUAUAAGCCCCAGAGCGGGAAGCAAAGCUGAAACAAGCCAUUUUUACAUAUAACUUAAGUUUAGGUUCUGUAUAGUAGGUUGAUCCCUUACUUAACCUUUAAUAAAAUUGGAUUCAAGGGUAUUUAUAUGUAAAUAAAAAAAUAAAGUUAAUUUCGUUUCAUACUUCCCUAUGAGCAAGUGUCUAGUAAUAUAUUACAAUGACAUUUAAACUUCAGUAUUUGUCCUAUUGGCUGAAAAAAUUCCCAUACUUUUUUAGCAACAGGGUUUGAGGUUAGACAUUAAAAAGGGAAGGUUCUUAAGAUGAAUAUUAAGAUUACGUGAUCAUAUGCACAGUGAUGAAAUCAGUCUGUAUUUGUUUGACCUCUUGUCUCCUAUGAAGGUAUCUAAGAAGUCAUUUCCUCCUAUUACAUAUUUUAGAAAUUAAAAUUUAAUAACGCUUCAUACCCUCCAAACUUCUCUGAAAGGGCUCUUUAGUUGUACAGGCAUCUAGAUCAUGGUCAGACUCCUUUUCUAAGUAAUGUUAUCAAUAGUGUAUUUGUAUACGUGGUUAUAGAUCAAAGGUUGAAAUACGCUUAUCAGUGCCUCCUGAAGAGGCAGUCCCCUGGAGUCUUCUUAUCUCACCUGAUGAGUGUGGUCUUUUGGUGCUCAUAUCAUGUAUGGAAGGAGGUGGCAGGGAUCAGGAGGGCAUAUCCCCUUUGCCUCUCAUUCCCUACCCGACUUCCCAGAGAAAGCAGCAUUUUCAAACUUGCAGAAAUAUGUGAGGGCUCUCAGAACUGCUUAGGAUCAGCCAUGUACAUUGUGAAAAGUGAGUCAUGGCUUUUUCUCUGCAAUAGUGUAGACGUUUCUACUCUUAAAAAUAAAGAUAGAUUAAAAUAUAACACCUCAACUCCAAGAGCUCCAAGCCUCCCACAGAACAUCGUAGUCCUGCUACACUCAGUUGAACAUUUAUGCCCUGGCCCUGGCACCCACCUCCCUUAGCCUGCCUGUGAAGGCGUCUCUCUGAUGCCCUAUCUAGACCCGUUCUUCCUUUUCCUACAUUUGAACUUUUUCUGAGAUAGUUUCAGUUUCCAUAAUCUCUGUGUGAUGAUUUUCAUCAAGAAUUCCGACUAAGGAGAUUUUAUUCUUUUAAGAAGAUUUGUUCAACAUAUACUUACAUGAGAUUUUGUUCUUUUUAAAGACUGUGUAAAUAAAUUAUCUGAUUAAGAAAAA